GGCGACGUAGCUCAGCGGUUAGAGCGGGCGCUUCAUAAGCGCUAGGCCGGAGGUUCAAUUCCUCCCGUCGCCACCA
rnacentral:tRNA from 1 species